rnacentral:rRNA from 1 species
AGCGAACGCUGGCGGCAGGCCUAACACAUGCAAGUCGAACGAACCUUUCGGGGUUAGUGGCGGACGGGUGAGUAACACGUGGGAACGUGCCUUUAGGUUCGGAAUAACUCAGGGAAAUUUGUGCUAAUACCGAAUGUUCCCUUCGGGGGAAAGAUUAAUCGCCUUUAGAGCGGCCCGCGUCUGAUUAGCUAGUUGGUUGAGGUAAUGGCUCACCAAGGCGACGAUCAGUAGCUGGUCUGAGAGGAUGAUCAGCCACAUUGGGACUGAGACACGGCCCAAACUCCUACGGGAGGCAGCAGUGGGGAAUCUUGCGCAAUGCGCGAAAGCCUGACGCAGCCAUGCCGCGUGAAUGAUGAAGGUCUUAGGAUUGUAAAAUUCUUUAACCGGGGACGAUAAUGACGGUACCCGGAGAAGAAGCCCCGGCUAACUUCGUG